UCUCACGCCAAGUGCAGCGCAGCCGCCGGCGCCGUCGAUUCGAUUCCGACGCCCCGCCUUCGCCGCCGGCACCCCUCACCGCCGACCGCCUCUAGAUCCUCCAGAUCGACGCCGCCCCUCCCCACCGACCUCCUCCAGAUCGACGCCGCCCCUCCCGGACACCGCCGCCGUAGCGUCGCCACGCCCGCUCCACUCCCGGACACCGCCGCCGCCGCCUCGCCACGCCGGCUCCACUCCCGGACGCUGCCGCCUCCUAAGAAACCAAUUGCUUUAAGUAUAUUGGACCUGGUUAUGGUUGGAUGA
rnacentral:lncRNA from 1 species